ensembl:lncRNA novel transcript
AAUGUGUAGUCUUCUCUCUCUCACCCCCUUUCACCCUUCCCCCCAAGUCACCAGAGUCCAUUGUAUUAGUCUUAUUUUCAUCACCGUGGGCGUACCCUGUGGGAUGAUGUUAAACGUACUCUAGACUCUGUUGGCUAUUUCUCUAGAGUUAGACCUCUGGAGACUUCUCAGAUAGCUCAUGGGUCUCUGGCCUUGCCCUGAAAUUACUGGGUUCUCAGGGAGAUGCUGGAGAUGGCGGAGGCUCCUCACUCUUUGGGUCCUCCUGUGGCUCAUUUUGAUUGAGUUCCUCAUUCAGCUGGUCGCAGUGGCCGGAUAGUGUGGCCUGCUCCCUUCCUCAGGUUUUCUUGAGGCAGUGGUCUUUUUUGUAGAGGCUUUUUUUUUUUUUUUUUUUCCCUGGAACUCCCUUGGAGGUCUCCCUUCCCUUUCAAGGUUGUCUUGGGAACCUUGAUAGUGCUUCUGGACCUAGGUUGAGACAGGGCCUUUCUCUUCAUUACUUCUUGGGUAUUGGUGGGUGGGUGGUUGACAGCUAGGCUGGAGGCUCAUGGUUUCCUGGUUAUUUUCACCAGCAUCUCUCAACAGUCUCAGCUCGCUCAUUCUUAAGAUGUCAGCUUAAAUGUUAUCUCUUCAGAGGCCCCCAUGUUCUCUCUUGCAAUGGCCUGUUCUAUUCCAUUAGGGGACUUUGCCAUAUAUGGCAUAUUUGUGUAAAAGUUCCAUGAGAGCAGAGGUUUUGUUUCCUUUAUCCCUCCAUACACAGCAACUGGAACAAUACAAUGCAUAGAGUAAACAUGCAACAGAUAACCUGAAGGAAUGCUGUUUCAUGCCUUCAUUCCUUCCUAUACAUUAUUGCUCCCCUAAUGUUCUCUGUGUUUGGACUGCCAUAACCUCAUCUACCUUUUCUCCUUACUACCUUCUCAUUCUUCAAAAUUCAGCUCAUCCCCAAAUUCCUCUGAGAAGUCCUUCAGGUUGUUCCUCUCCAUCUAAUCUGAAUAAGAUGUCCUUUCUUGGAGCUCUAAUAGCGUUUAGACUAGACACUGGUCCUCAGAGUGAGGUUUCUGCAUGGACAGCAUCACCGUCAUCUGGGAAUUCAUUAGAAAUGCAAAUUAUGAGGCCCUACCCUAGACCUCCUGAAACAGAAACUCUGGGAGUGGGGCCAACAACCUGCGUUUUAACAAGCCCUGCAGGUGACUGUGACGAACACAAAGUUUGAGGACCACUAGAAUAUAGUCACUGUAGAAUAUAUCUCCAGGAUCUGACACAACGCCUAGAGCAGGAUUAUUGUGAAGAUCGACCUGAAAUCUAUCUUCCUGUAGCCUCAUCAAUCCUGGUUGAGAAUAUGAAAAACUAGUUGAGUUGCAUCUCUGUUAGGCAGCUUUACAACAUUUGAGGAUAGCGAUUAUCUCUACUUCUCCACCUCUCAUCCCUAGCUCCUCUGGUUUAAUGUCUUUUUUUUCUUAUGUGCUAUAACUUUGAAUCCCUUCACUUUCUUCCUUGGACUUACCUGGACAAUUCCAACUUACUUCAUAUCCAUCUUAAGUGUAUAUUCAAAAUAUCCUUUUAGCUUUUAACCUACAAUUCUGAAAGGUGGAACUAUACAUGUCUGUAAUCACCCCAGCAAGACAGAGUUCACAAUGAACAUAGUUAGAAUUCCAUUUGUACAGUUGGAGGUGUUCCUAGGUGGGCGGAUUGCUUGAGGUCAGGAGUUCAAGACCAGUCUGGCCAACAUGACGAAACCCCGUCUCUACUAAAAAUACAAAAUUCAGCCAGGUAUGGUGGCAUACGCCUGUAAUCCUAGCUACUUGGGAGGCUGAGGCAUGAGAAUCAAUUGAACCCGGUAGAGGCGGAGGUUGCAGUGAGCCGAGAUCGCGCCACUGCACUCCAGCCUAGGUGACAGAGGGAGACUCUGCCUCAAAAACAAACCAUCCCUGUCGCUCCCAUCCUAGACCAAUCUAAUUGCAAGUAUCUCACAGGGAGCCCAAGUAUCAAUGUUUUUUUGAACAGCUUUAUGGAGGUAUAAUCUAUAUACCAUAAAAUCCACUUAUUUUAAUAUAUGAUUUUAGUAAAUUUAAAGACUUGUGCAGCCCUUACCACAUCAUACAAACCAGAAUGUUUCCAUCACCCAAAAAGAAACUUCAUGUCUAUUUAGUCACUCCCUGUUUCUACUCCCAGCUCUAGGUGGCCAUUAAUCUGAGUAUCUCUAGAUUUGUCUUUUCUAGACCUAAACAUCAGGUUUUUGUUUUUCUGCAGCCAGAGUUGAGAACCAUAAUUCUAAAUGCAUUAUGAGAAAUAAUGGUUUUUAAAGAUUAUAUAUAAUAUUUUACGUAUUUUCAUAUUUAUGACUCCCAUCCUUACAGUGAAUGCGUCUAUCACCAGUAAGACAAAGAUCAUUAAUUUGAUAAUGGAACUUAACAGACCAUUCUUUCCUUUUAUACAUUUUAGUAUCAUAUUCAAAAUGGCCUCCCAUUCUGUCCCCAAGUUAUUUUAAAACAUCUCCAGUCUUGCUUUUUUCCCCUUUAGCUCAUAAAUGAAUAGUGCUGGAAGAUAUCUCAGGAGCAUUCUCCCUGAGAUGAUGUCUUCAGUAAUGAUCGCACGUAUUGGUGUUGAUUCCAUCCUUGAAGUUACUUUCCUUUAUCUUUCACAGUGGUGUUUCUUCACUAGAGGUUUUGCUGUCUGAUUAACUUCUCUGCCAAAUAAAUGGACUUUUGCUUCAUAGGUACACAAACAUUUCUAAAACUUUUUUUGGAAAAUAUAUUUCUUUCUUAAAAAAACAAAUAGUGCAUGCACAUUUUUAAAAAAAUAAAUAAAAAAUAAUCUACCCCAAAAUGACCAGUUAAGAUUUACUUUCAGACAACUCUGUGCAUAUUUACAUAUGCUUAUAUACAACUAUGUACACCUUUGCAUAGAUGAGAUCACACUCUAUGUACUGCUUUGUAACUUGCUUCUUUCACUUAAUCCUGAGAACAUUUGUACAUGACCAUAGAUAUAGAUUUGUAUUGUUUUUAAUGGCUGUAUAGUUUUGCAUUAUACUGAAUCUUGAUGUUUAAGAGCUAUGUAUAUUGAGGACAUUAUUUCUUUGUCUUGUGUUGCAAAUUUUUUACCAUGUUAUUAUUAGUCUUUUAACCUUAUUUAUAGUUUUUUUGUUAUAAAAGUUAAGUUUUAUGAUGUAAACUUAA